GGAUUGCAUUUGAAAGACAGACACAACACUCAAACCCUUAGGUCCUGAGUACAGCGGAGUGAAAGCAAACUUGGAAAUCAUGUCUUAGAGAUCAAGGAGCCAAGAGAUGAGACAAGCCUGGGUUCCUAGGUGAUAGGGUGUGGCUGUGUCCCCACCCAAAUCUCGUCUUGAAUUGUAGCUCCCAUAAUCCCCACAUGUUGUGGAGGGACCCUGUGGAAGAUCUUUAAUAAAUGAAAUAAAUGUGACUGUAUGUCCUACAUCCCAUUCCUGUUGUCUUCCAUGUCUCCUCAGAGCAUCUACUUGUUUCCAAAGUUAUUUGGGUCAGCAUUUUCCUCCACCCACCACUUAAAACUGAUUUGUUUCAUACAUUUGAAAUGUAUGAAAAGCCAGAAAUCCAGGACCCACCCUGGCCUGCUCCCUUUUUCUCACCUACUGUGUUAAGGAUAAGUCAAUUGAGCUUCACUUCUCUAAUUGAAAUCACCGUGCUGAUGGAGUCUGUCUGUGGAAAUGAAAGGUGGCUACCAUAAUCUGUUGGGAGUUGAAUUAAUCCUCUGGGAGUGAGGCUGACCUAAUUACUCAGAAAUACUGGGCUUGCUUUCAUUCUGUGGAAUACAGCCAUGAGAAAGAGGCCAGCAUGCCAUUUCCUAAUCUUUUCUUGAAUUGCCUGAAACUCACCUAACAUGAAACUGAGAAGCCUUUUCAUUUGAAAGUGGUAUUUCUUAUGUUUUUUAUCUUUUUGCUUGAAAGUAUUCUUAAACUAAAGAAAGGAGAAACAGAAAAGGUGAAGAAGCCAAGAGGCUGGAGUUUCCUUUUGAAUGGAUAUUCAUCCAUGAAGCUGUUGAUUCUGUUUUUCUGUUCCUCCAGAUGUCUACACUUUUACCUCUGCUUGCCUGAUACAACCACCACCAGUCACCUCACAGAAUAACUCACUCCUUAAGAAUCUGAUCAGGAAUCAGCCUUCCCUGAUCACAAACACUGAGUUUAGAAGUCCCUCCACAGUGUCCCCCGUAACCCUGUGCUACCUCACUGCCUCAUAGUUUAGUGCCGUUUGUGUACAUGCCUAUCUUCGUCCAUGGAUCCAGAACAACUUGUAAAAAUGACUGUACUUAUCACCUUCAGUAUUCAAUGACUAAACUAUAAUUUUAACAUAUCUGGCAGAAUGAAUCACUUGGGGAUUUCUGCCAACACUACCAAUAUAUUACUCCUAAUUUGUAAUUAUUACUUAGCAUGGAUUAUAGUACCGGCUGUUGGAGAGCCAAUGUGGCAGACCCUAAGUGGAAUAAAAUGUCAGUAGCAGUCUAGGAGCAUAUAUUUAUUGGAAUAGAUCAUUCAUUCAUUUGUUCAUUAACUAAUUUGUUCAUUAAAUAAACAUUUAUUAAGCA
ensembl:lncRNA CCDC26 CCDC26 long non-coding RNA